AUUGAACGCUGGCGGCAGGCUUAACACAUGCAAGUCGAGCUAGCGGCGGACGGGUGAGUAAUGUCUGGGAAACUGCCUGACGGAGGGGGAUAACUACUGGAAACGGUAGAUAAUACCGCAUACCAUCAGAUGUGCCCAGAUGGGCUUAGCUAGUAGGUGGGGUACUGGCUCACCUAGGCGACGAUCCCUAGCUGGUCUGAGAGGAUGACCACCCACACUGUAACUGAGACACGGUCCAGCCUCCUACGGGAGGCAGCAGUGGGGAAUAUUGCACAAUGGGCGCAAGCCUGAUGCAGCCACGCCGCGUGUGUGAUGAAGGCCUUCGGGUUGUAAAGCACUUUCAGCGAGGAGGCGGUACUCGCAGAAGAAGCACCGGCUAACUCCGUGCCAGCAGCGGCGGUAAUUC
rnacentral:rRNA from 1 species